rnacentral:rRNA from 1 species
CCUACGGGAGGCAGCAGUGAGGAAUAUUGGUCAAUGGUCGGGAGACUGAACCAGCCAAGCCGCGUGAGGGAUGAAGGUACAGCGUAUCGUAAACCUCUUUUGUCAGGGAACAAAGUCGGGGACGUGUCCCCGGCUGAGUGUACCUGACGAAAAAGCAUCGGCUAACUCCGUUCCAGCAGCCGCGGUAAUACGGGGGAUGCGAGCGUUAUCCGGAUUUAUUGGGUUAAAGGGGUGCGCAGGCGGUCUGUUAAGUCCGCGGUCAAAGCCCGGGGCUCAACCCCGGCCCGCCGUUGAAACUGGCAGUCUAGAGUUGGAGAGAGGUAUGCGGAAGGCGCGGGGUAGCGGUGAAAUGCAUAGAUAUCGCGCAGAACUCCGAUUGCGAAGGCAGCAUGCCGGAUCCACACUGACGCUGAGGCACGAAAGCGUGGGUAUCGAACAGGAUUAGAUACCCGAGUAGUC